rnacentral:rRNA from 1 species
CUCCCACCCUAUGUUAUUGUUACCUUUGUUGCUUUGGCGGGCCGUCAGGCCUCGGUCAGGCUACCGGCUUCAGCUGGUAAGCGCCCGCCANAGGACCCCAAACUCUGAAUAUUAGUGUCGUCUGAGUACUAUAUAAUAGUUAAAACUUUCAACAACGGAUCUCUUGGUUCUGGCAUCGAUGAANAACGCAGCGAAAUGCGAUAAGUAAUGUGAAUUGCAGAAUUCAGUGAAUCAUCGAAUCUUUGAACGCACAUUGCGCCCCUUGGUAUUCCGGGGGGCAUGCCUGUUCGAGCGUCAUUACAACCCUCAAGCCUGGCUUGGUAUUGGGCUUCGCCGUUUUGGCGGGCCUUAAAAUCAGUAACAGUGUCGUUGGGGCCCUGANCGUACACAUAUCCUCGCUAUAGGGAUUUCCACGGCCAUUAACCCUCACUUUCUAAGUUUGACCUCGGAUCANGUAGGGAUACCCGCUGAACUUAAGCAUA